ACUCCUACGGGAGGCAGCAGUGGGGAAUCUUGGACAAUGGGGGCAACCCUGAUCCAGCCAUGCCGCGUGAGUGAUGAAGGCCUUAGGGUCGUAAAGCUCUUUCGCCUGUGAAGAUAAUGACGGUAGCAGGUAAAGAAACCCCGGCUAACUCCGUGCCAGCAGCCGCGGGUAAUACGGGAGGGGGUUAGCGUUGUUCGGAAUUACUGGGCGUAAAGCGCGCGUAGGCGGACCAGAAAGUUGGGGUGAAAUCCCGGGGCUCAACCCCGGAACUGCCUCCAAAACUCCUGGUCUUGAGUUCGAGAGAGGUGAGUGGAAUUCCGAGUGUAGAGGUGAAAUUCGUAGAUAUUCGGAGGAACACCAGUGGCGAAGGCGGCUCACUGGCUCGAUACUGACGCUGAGGUGCGAAAGUGUGGGAGCAAACAGGAUUAGAUACCCUGGUAGGACAGUG
rnacentral:rRNA from 1 species